rnacentral:rRNA from 1 species
UACGUAGGGUGCAAACGUUAUUCGGAAUUACUGGGCUUAAAGGGUGCGUAGGCGGCGGUGCAAGUUGGGUGUGAAAUCCCUCGGCUCAACCGAGGAACUGCGCUCAAAACUGCAUCGCUUGAGGGAGAUAGAGGUGAGUGGAACUUAGGGUGGAGCGGUGAAAUGCGUUGAUAUCCUAAGGAACACCAGUGGCGAAAGCGACUCACUGGGUCUCUUCUGACGCUGAGGCACGAAAGCUAGGGUAGCGAACGGG